ACCGCACUGGGUGUUGCGUGGUUCCUCCUUGUGGGUGACUGAUCGCUCGUGCCCAGGCCACUCGUACUCUGUCUAUGCGCGCGUUAGUUCACACGUGGGUUGGAUCAAGAGCGAGAUCGGAGAUGGCGGGACAGAUUCCGGUUCCUCAGGCGGCAAUGCUGACUGCAGAGACACCUGGUGUGCUGGUGUGUUCGGUACGCCAAAUUCUGUGGAACGACUGCAAGUAUCAAAAACGUUGCAAGAAGACCUGCAAUAAGUGCUGAAGUGAGUGCUUCUAGCUUUAAAAUCAAACCUACGACGGCGCUUAAAAAGUGUGCUCUCAGAACUUGUUUUCGUGCACAGCAGCUCGGUGUAAUGAUUUUAUUUGAUAUUUGAUUUUCUUUUUUUUUUCUUUUUUCUAGAUACAGAUCGUAUAUAAUAUAAAAAUAAUAAUAUAAUAUAAAAUGAAAAUUUUUGGAGUGACACUCGCGGGGCAGGAAGCCCACGCCAGCGGUUUGAAUAACCUCAGUAGUAGCCUGCGAAAGAAGACUGCUUUCGAAAAGAUAAUAGAAACCACUAAUCAUCAAACUUCGCAACAUCAAAAGCAAAACGCCGUUUUUUUCAAAAGCUGGCUGAAUAAAAUGUAAAAAUUCUUUAGCAAUGACCGCCGCAGUUGAAAAAAAAAAUACACACCGCACCAUUAAAUCACGGUAGCAAGUAAACUUUGUCAUUAUUCUUUCAAAACUUGAGUUGGAUUUUCUGACAAAGUAUCUCAAGCUCCCUUGGUCUAAUCGAAAAAAUACGGUAUU